rnacentral:tRNA from 1 species
UACUGGAUAGCUCCGUUGGUAGAACAUGAGUCUCUUAAUCUUAGGGUUGUGGGUUCGAGCCCCACACUGGGCAAAA